rnacentral:lncRNA from 1 species
AGUAGUUGCUUGGCCCUUACUUACUAUAUUCUAUUGGAUUGUAUUUCAUUUAUCCAGGUCCUGCAGGCAGCUAUUUCUCGGGAUUAUAGAGGUCCAGCAGCUAUUUCUCGGGAUUAUAGAGGUGUCCUGAGUGCAUGUGCUCUUAGCCUUUUCAAUCAAGCUUUCUUCUUUGCUUAAAUGUUGGGUUAUGGCCAUUUCAAUGUCUCAUGCAAAAGGUUGGCAUGACCCGACAACAAUACUAUCUUGAAAGUUCUUCCAUGGCAGCCAUUGCUUGUUUCCAAAAUCCUAACUAUCAACCUCCCUGGAGCAUAUGCACUCGUUGGCUUAACUUCAUUCUUUUCUUUAUCUAUGCUUAAUGAUUUUCGACUCCUUUGACUUAUUAGGGAAGGGAAUAUGGCUGCGGACUCUUUGUUUGGCCAAUCGAGGGUUGCAGUAUAAUAUACAAUGGUUUGGUGCCCCCCAGGUCCGAAGCGAGAGUCCAAGCCCUUUUCUAUCAGGCGAGCAACUACUAUAAUAGCCUUAUUGGAUUUCCUUAUUAUCAGUACUCUUCUCUCUUUUUGUAAAAGCAAAUUGUAACUAGUCGUCAUCUGUUUAGUGGUUAGGCUUAUUACGUCCUUCCCUGGCUAGGUUAACAAUUCCGUUUCUUAUCUAUUUUUUGGCCUUCUACAUUUCAUACUAAGAAACGUCCAGAAUCAACUCUCUGCCUGCUUUUGAAGCUGCUUGCCGGCACAAAGAGAGUGUAUGUUUUUGAUUGAAUCCAAUCCACUUAUGAUUCUCGCAUCGUCGAUAGCUAUAGAUUUCUAAGGAUUUAGUAAUGCUCUUCACGUCUAUAUCUUGCAUCCUUGUAUCCCUACUUGCUCUUUACGUCUUUAUCCUGCAUCCUUGUAUCCCUAGAGAUAGAUAUUGCAAUAGUAGUAGCUAAUACAAUGCUCUCUUACUUGCCCUCUAAACGACCGCUUGCUUACUUCUCAUUUUCCUAUUGAAUUCAAAGGGAAAGAACAUAGGAACGAAGGAAAAGAAAGGGAAAGAACAUAGGAACGAAGGAAAAGCGUCCCUUGUAGAAUACUGUAUAGGGUCAAAGGUCUUCUAAACCGAUUCAGGAUAGGAGAGACCAAGAAGAGACCAGCCCGAGAGCAAUGCCAAGUCUAAGUCCAAUCAAUCAGUAGUCCGCUCAUUCAUCUAGUAGGAAACAGUUCUUCCUUAACAACAUUACUAGUUAACAUUUACAAAGGUCUUGGACAAGGUGCUACCUAGGACUUCUCGAACAAAACGGAGAAGGCUUUCUAGGGAGUUGGGUGAUAAGAGUGAACGUUUUCUUUUCUUUCCGUAUGGGAAGGCACAAGUUAGUAAGAGGGAAGCAAGACGGGACCAAGUACCACCAUCUUUGGUACUCACACUAUCAAAUCCCUUCCCUUAACAAAAGUAGUAUAGACCGCAUCUAGGGCUUCUCUUUAUUGCGGAACCGCAGGAGCUGGCUUAUUAUGGCAUUAGCCAGAGAUGUUUUAGUUAUGAUCUGCUUGAGCGAGAGUUCCGGAACUAUAAGGAUGAAACACUUUUUCCGCGGGCUUCAGCUGAUCUAAAAAGAAAAGAAAGGCAGAAGCGUCUCCACUAAUUGGACUUCGUUGAGUAAGUCCUGUGCUAUGCAAUGGAAAGCCCACACAAGCAACACAAGCCACCCAUAGUAUAACGGGCCAGAUUCUUAGAUAGCCGUUACCGUUCACUAGCUUCGGGAGAGGAGAUAUAGUCGAGCUACAGUCAAAUGCGAAGGUAGCGCGCUACAAGGUAUGUGGAUAGCAUUAUACCUUCGGCUCAUUUUUCAUUGAAGUAAGUUAGUUCGCAUUAAUAAAUGUCUUCGGUCUUGAUGACCCCAAUCACUAUACGUUCCCAAAGCUCACUUCACUCUUCAGUAAAGGGGCCUUCUCGUAUUCUAUUUAUGGAGGAGGACGUAACCAAAGCACAGUAGCUAAAUCAUCUUAAACAAAAGGAAGGAUGCUCAAUGCAAUCAAUGCGACGUUCGGGAGGCCAAACACAUACACGACUUCACUUCAUCCUAAACAAAAGGAAGGAUGCUCAAUGCAAUCAAUGCGACGCAACCAACCUUGAGUCUUCUUUUUCUUAAUAGGUAGGGAGCAGUGGAGCUUCCUUUAGAGCGAUAAGCCUGUGCAAUGUCAUAUAAUUUGAUCAUGGAAUUGGUCAACGCUUCGAUACUUCCAACUCUUCUUCCUAGAAUCAACUCUGAUCAACAAAGCGGAUUUGUCGAUGGAAGAAAGACAGAUAUUUCUUUAUUGGAAAGAGGGUCUUGCUGCAAUCCAUUAAUUGGGUGCAGUGCACACUUCAUGAAGGUCUAAGGUGGGAGCAAUUUCAAGGCGGAUAUAGAAUAGGCAUUUGACAAAAGCCGAUCUGGACGGACUUCUUAUGAGAAAGUUAUGGCAGACUUCUCUUUUGCAGAAGACUGGAAUCACCCUACCUAAUAGAAGAAUGCACCAAGAAGGUCUCCUUUUCAUUUGGAGUCAAUAGUAUGGAGGCUUUCUUUUACAAAGUUCCAGCAGGGCAAGGCAAGGCGAUCCGUUAUCUCCAUCUCCCAUUGGAUUAAGUAUUGCUUAAGAAGCUCCGAGGUUUCUAACAUCUGAGGAAAAUCCCAUUUCUAAGUGAUUCAUUCAAGGUGCUGAAAGCCUCUAGUUUUCGUUUAAUAUAAAUGCAGAUGCUGUUCUUUUGCCGUGCAGAUAAAGCCUCGUGAUAAUGCGACUUUCUUUAUUGGAGCAGUAUAGUCAAGCUUCGGGUCAACUUAUCAAUAAAUGCAAGAGCUGUUAUUCUCUUGGCAAAGAAUCCAUGAAUCUCCGAUAAAUGAACAAGAAUGAAAGGGUUGACUCAUAGGGAAACGCCGCUACGUGUAACAGAGGUUAAACGAACAGAAAUAACGGGUACAUAGGGAAACCUUUUCAGAAUUCUAUUGACGCCCGCCCUGUUCACCAGUGUACUUUACUUAUGAGGGAACUGAUUUCGUGGUGACCUGAUCUUCAGAAGAGGAUAAGACACUUAAGUCAGCUAUAUAACCUAUAGCAAGUUUCUUAAGAGUAACAGCUACACUCGGGAAGAUACCUCCUUUCGAGCAUAGAUACCUUCACUCGGACAACUAUGAUAAGAAUAAAGAAUCAAUGCUAACUACUGGGGGAGACAAGAGAAGCACGAAAGAAGAGAGAAUUGGACAAAGAGAAGAGUAUUUGAUAGCACAUAACAAGAUAGAUAACUGUAAACCUAGACGAGAGCUACCCUUUCAACAUAGGAGCAAGCUCUUACAUGUUCUAAAGAAUAAAUGCUAGUGAAGAGAAGCGAGGUUAUAAAGAAUAAAUGCUAGUGAAGAGAAGCGAGGGGUAUUUCUAGGGAAUUAGACAUUACUGGAGUUUGACAUAGGUUAAAAGAUUCAAAUAAAGGGUUGUUAGCAAGCUUGAGGUUAAAAGAUUCAAAUAAAGGGUUGUUAGCAAGCUUAAUGCUUUGAAGCCAACACGACCACUACAAUAAACUCGGGAUGCGCUCCGCAAACUGCUAUUUUCUCUCAUUGGCUCGGGUUGGGGUGCUGAUAUUCCUUCUUUCACGAAGCUACAAGGCAAUAAGGCGAAAAACGGAAUGAAUGACAAGUCGAACAGAGCAAGCAACGGGCGCAAACGGAAACCACUCAGCUCGUUCGGGAAAUGGAUUGGCUUCUUUCAGAGGGUAGGGGCUGGGGCAUUUUCUUGGCUUUACCCAAGAUCAGGAGAACGAUGACUCACUUAUUGGAUUUUGUGAGCUUAUACUAAUGAGCGAUCUCUACCAAAAGCAAUUAGAGGUUUUGAAAGCGGAUAGCAUUGUUCAUUCGUAUUGCUGAGAAAGAUCGAAACUGACUGUUCACCUCUCUCAUGAGAAUCCGACUCUAUAGUCUCAUCAGUAUUGGCGCUAAGAGAACGCUAAGAGAAAAACAACAUGAAAAACAACAUAAAUACGGCCAAGUCCUUAUUUUGUCUGAGGGUGCUAGUCGUGUGUGUUUAAGUUCGGGGUUCACUGACUUCAUAUGGAAGGAGUUGGAAAGAGCAGCAUUGCGAGAGUAUACUAACAGCAUUGGUAGGGUUCACAAUCUAAUAUAGUACGUAGUACGCAUCGGAUCGAAUAUGGAACUCAAUUACUUCUUCCGCGCGGUAUCCUCCUGCUUAGCUUCGUUAAGUCUCUGAAUGCUCUUCGUACUGCAACUCAAAGAAUUCAUUUAAGCCAGCUUUCACUAAGAGAUAUGAAUGUAAACAAGCAGAGACAGAUAGAUUACACAUAAUUUGGUAAGAUAACCUAUAGCAACUCCCCUUAUAGCGAAUUUGGACCUAGUAAGAUUGAACUCUUUCCAAAGAAAAAGAAGACUCCAUUUGAAGUGAGAGUAAAGUCGACAAGAUUAGACUCAGGAUCAGAUGUUUCAGUUGAGUCUCGUCUAGAUGUUGGUAAUUAUUGAAGAAGAGAAGAGGUGUUGCCGUGAAAAGGCGGUAAUCGAGACAAUAAGUCUUAUCAGCACUCCUUCGCGACGUAGCAUCAUAGUUUCUACUUUACUUGGCCAAUCUCUAGAAUAGAACAUUUUGCUAUCCCUAAUCCGUAAGUACGUCUGGAGCGGGAGUUCCUCAGCUGUUGGCACUAGUAAUGCCGCAUCCAGCUCUUCCUUCUUAUUAUUCUGCUCUUCCUUAACAUGUGCACUAAAUUCUAUUACCGUUGUGGACCCUUAUCCGCAUGAACUCGGAUGUUGACCCUUAUCCGCAUGAACUCGGACCCAAAGCGCCAAGUAUACUUAGCAACUACUAGACAAGACAGGCCUUUGAGCCGGAAACAAAGAACUCAAUUACAAACUAUAGGACUAAAUAAAAGAAUCAAGAAAGAAACUCGUGCUUCUAAGCAUUAAGCUACUGACUCGGGCUUACCUUACCUUAUCUAAAAGAAUGGAGCUACCACUUCUCGUAAUCAAUACAAUAAUCUCCAAUAUUAGUAGUUGGCUUAGGCUUUUAACUAGCACCAACAAAG